CUUGCUGGCAGCAGGCUCUGACCAUGUCUGGGUUUUUGCCUGUGUUGGAUUUUCAAGCCUUGUUUCCCCAGCUUCCUGUAGAUGUGUGUCCAAAGUGUGUGUCCCCACAGGCUUCUCUGAGCAGCGGUGUCCUGCUCAAGGGCCAAGAGCUGAGGGCAGGUGGUCCCCCCGCCCAGCUCGGCAGCCUGUGCAGCCUGGGGCGGCUGCUUAUCAAUUGCCUCUUCUCUGACCUGCUGCACCCGAGGGAAUGUUUUUCUUCUGAGUUCUGUUUCUGAGAAAAGUUUGUGUUCCUCAGACAGCUGGGGAAUCCUUCGGAAUCCCCUUGGUGCCCAAUCAACUCACAGCUGAUGAGCAUUCCGGUCCAGAAUAACGGGAGAAGUUUUUGGAGCUGCGCGCUAAGGGGCUGCCUGCCCUGGGGUGUCAUUAAAAAGAAGGCAGAUUAUGCUGCUCUGAUAAUUCUUAUAAUGUCUUUGGGAAGAAGACUCAUGCAGUUCUGUUGGGCGUGUAUGCGGGAGUGAACCUGCCGGGUCCCAGAUCAGUGUGUGUCUGCCUUCACAGAGCACCAUCUUCCCCGAAGAGAAAUAAACCUGCUGUAUGUGACGACAUGGAUGAGCCUGGACGACAUCAUGCUUAGUGAAGUCAGCUGGGCACAGAGGGCAGAGCCUGCAUGGUUCCAUUCACUCGAGGCAUCAGCAGCAGCCUGACUCACAGCAGCAGAGCAGAAUGGAGGUGCCAGGAGCUCGGGAGGGAAGAGGCGUCUGUGUCAACGGCUGUAAAGUCUCUGUCGCGCGAGUGAGUGAGUGCUGGAGCCCCGCUGGACACGAGGUGCUCGUAGUCAGCAACACUGUAUUUGCACCUGCAUUUCCAACAAGGGGAGAACGAGGUGGUGAUGUGGCCUGGGCUGGCCCCCGCUCCCAAACUGCACGGUUCCUGAGAGAGGGCAGGAACCUCCCCCCUGCCCCGCCCACCCAGAGCCAGGUCCUUGUCCAGCUAAUGGGCAAGUGUAUCUG